rnacentral:rRNA from 1 species
AUUGAACGCUGGCGGCAUGCCUUACACAUGCAAGUCGAACGGUAGAGGGGCAACCCUCGAGAGUGGCGAACGGGUGAGUAAUGCAUCGGAACGUGCCCAGUAGUGGGGGAUAGCCCGGCGAAAGCCGGAUUAAUACCGCAUACGACCUCAGGGUGAAAGCGGGGGACCCGCAAGAGCCUCGCGCUAUUGGAGCGGCCGAUGUCAGAUUAGGUAGUUGGUGGGGUAAAGGCCCACCAAGCCGACGAUCUGUAGCUGGUCUGAGAGGACGACCAGCCACACUGGGACUGAGACACGGCCCAGACUCCUACGGGAGGCAGCAGUGGGGAAUUUUGGACAAUGGACGAAAGUCUGAUCCAGCCAUGCCGCGUGCGGGAAGAAGGCCUUCGGGUUGUAAACCGCUUUUGUCAGGGAAGAAAUCUUCUGGGCUAAUACCCCGGGAGGAUGACGGUACCUGAAGAAUAAGCACCGGCUAACUACGUGCCAGCAGCCGCAGUAA